rnacentral:misc_RNA from 2 species
CAAAACUAGUCGUUCGUGUCAGGGUAACCUGAUUACGAUGUAAGCUCACUAGUCACCCUUGAAUAAACUACCUUUGUUGCUUUGGCGGGCCGCCUGUUGGCCAGUGGCUCCCGCUGCUGCGCGCCCGCCAGAGGACCCCCAACUCUUGUUUUUAGUGGCGUCUGAGUACUAUAUAAUAGUUA